UUCAUUUGGGUUUUAGAGAUUAUCUUGGAUUUUCACUAGUUCUAUUGUGUAAAUUUGGUUUUGAUGUUGCAUUGCAGGAAGAAAUUUUAAAUUUGUUAUUUGAUAUUCGAGAACUUGAGAAGGAAGAUCAGAGAUGAUUCGGUAUUUAGCUGAAGUUUAUAAUAAUGAUAUGAAAUCUGGUGGUGAAGAUUUGUUAAGUGCGAUAGUUCCUUUGUUGAAACUUUUGUCUCUUACUGCUAUAGGAUUAGUUCUUGCACAUCGCAGAACUCAAAUCAUUCCAAGAGACACAUUUAAGCUCCUAAGCAAGCUUGUUUUUGUUCUGUUCUUGCCCUGCCUAAUUUUUACUGAAUUGGGUCAAAGUAUUACGUUCGAUAGCAUUGCUAGGUGGUGGUUCAUACCGGUCAAUGUGUUAAUCAGUACUUUUGUUGGUUGCUUGCUUGGGUUUUUGGUGGUUGUCAUAUGUCGCCCUCCGCCUGAGUACAAGAGAUUUACCAUCAUUAUGACCGCCUUUGGCAAUACGGGAAACCUCUCUAUAGCUAUUGUUGGAUCUGUGUGUCACACCUCGAAUUCUCCAUUUGGACCCCAUUGCCACUCGAGGGGUGUGGCCUAUGUCUCUUUUGCACAGUGGGUUGCUGUUAUUCUGGUCUAUACCUUGGUUUAUCACAUGAUGGAGCCACCUUUGGACUCCUAUGAAAUUCUUGAAGAAGAGACUGAAAUUGAGGAAUUGAGUCCGCCGGUUAAUGAUAUCAGCAGGCCUCUUCUCAUUACAGCUGAAUGGCCAGGUAUCGAAGAAAAAGAGACUGAACAUUCUAAGACACCGUUCAUUGCCAGGGUUUUUAACAGCACCUCUGAUCAAUCUACAACCACUGUUCCCGACAUUGAUAUCAAUGGAGAGUAUGGCGGGAGUAAUCAUGUGUCCAUUCGGUGCUUGGCUGAACCUAGAGUAGUCAGGAGGAUCCGAACAGUUGCUGAACAAACUCCUAUACAACACAUACUUCAGCCCCCUACAAUUGCAUCUUUACUAGCUAUCAUUGUUGGUACAGUGCCUCAUUUAAAAUCUAUCGUCUUUGGAUACGAUGCUCCCCUAUCUUUCAUAACAGACAGCUUGGAGAUUUUAGCCGGUGCAAUGGUGCCUUCUGUGAUGCUCAUUCUUGGCGGUAUGCUGUCCGAGGGUCCAAACGAGUCCAAGCUCGGACUCAGAACUACCAUCGGCAUAAUCGUGGCAAGGCUGUUGGUGCUUCCUUUGCUAGGAAUAGGGAUUGUGACACUUGCUAGCAAAUUGAACCUUCUUGUAGUUGGUGAUGCGAUGUACCGAUUCGUGCUUUUGCUGCAAUACACUACACCAAGUGCCAUUUUAUUGGGAGCCAUCGCGAGUUUGAGGAGUUAUGCGGUUAGUGAGGCUUCAGCACUUCUCUUCUGGCAGCAUUUGUUUGCCCUAUUUUCAUUGUCUAUAUAUAUAGCGCUUUACUUUAGAUUGCUUCCAAGCAUGUAGCUUGAUCAAUUAGCAUGAAAAACCUUGUUGGUUAAUUUGUUAUUAGGAAAGAUAUGUUUUGGUACACAUAGUAUUUGCAGAAUGAAGAAUGUGAAAACUAAAAAAAAUAUUU